CCUACGGGUGGCAGCAGUGGGGAAUAUUGCUCAAUGGGGGAAACCCUGAUGCAGCGACGCCGCGUGAGUGCCGAAGUAUUUCGGUAUGUAAAGCUCUGUCAGCAGGGAAGAAAAUGACUGUACCUGACCAAGAAGCCCCGGCUAACUACGUGCCAGCAGCCGCGGUAAUACGGAGAGGGAAAGCGUAAUCCGGAUUUACUGGGUGUAAGGGGAGCGUAGACGGCAGGGCAAGUCUGGAGUGAAAGGCGGGGGCUAAACUCCCGGACUGCGCGGGAAACUGCCAGGCUGGAGUGCAGGAGAGGUGAGUGGAAUUCGUGGUGUAGCGGUGAAAUGCGUAGAUAUUAGGAGGAACACCAGUGGCGAAGGCGGCUUACUGAACUGUAACUGACGUGGAGGCUCGAAAGCGUGGGGAGCAAACAGGAUUAGAUACCCUUGUAGUC
rnacentral:rRNA from 1 species